rnacentral:rRNA from 1 species
UACGAAGGGGGCUAGCGUUGUUCGGAAUCACUGGGCGUAAAGCGCACGUAGGCGGAUCUUUAAGUCAGGGGUGAAAUCCCGAGGCUCAACCUCGGAACUGCCUUUGAUACUGGGGAUCUUGAGUUCGGGAGAGGUGAGUGGAACUGCGAGUGUAGAGGUGAAAUUCGUAGAUAUUCGCAAGAACACCAGUGGCGAAGGCGGCUCACUGGCCCGGUACUGACGCUGAGGUGCGAAAGCGUGGGGAGCAAACGGG